rnacentral:rRNA from 1 species
AUUGAACGCUGGCGGCAUGCCUUACACAUGCAAGUCGAACGGUAGAGGGGGCAACCCCUUGAGAGUGGCGAACGGGUGAGUAAUAUAUCGGAACGUGCCCAGUCGUGGGGAUAACGUAGCGAAAGUUACGCUAAUACCGCAUACGAUCUACGGAUGAAAGCGGGGGACUCGCAAGAGCCUCGCGCGAUUGGAGCGGCCGAUAUCAGAUUAGGUAGUUGGUGAGGUAAAGGCUCACCAAGCCGACGAUCUGUAGCUGGUCUGAGAGGACGACCAGCCACACUGGGACUGAGACACGGCCCAGACUCCUACGGGAGGCAGCAGUGGGGAAUUUUUGGACAAUGGGCGCAAGCCUGAUCCAGCAAUGCCGCGUGCAGGAUGAAGG